UUUGAUUAAUCUAAAAAUUAUUUUGUUUUUUGUUUAUGAAGAUAAUAGAUCUUCAGGGUAGAAAACCAAACAAUGCUGGAAGCUCUGAAGUCCUGUAAGCAAAUGCUGUCCGGAUAGAACCGUUCUGUCCAUCCUUACCACGUUCUUCCCAUCUUGUCUCCGGGCAUCGAUGUUUGCAAUCUCAGUUUGGGUUACAUCUAUUUAUGGUCCACUCAGCUAUGAUGGAGGAAAGAAAUACACAGGACUGUCCUUUCCAGAGGGUGAAGAGGCUCAAGAAAGGAAUGUGGUUGGAGGGUGAUUACUGGCAGCUCUACAUAGUACGCAGGUGUUCUGCUUCCGAAGAGUUCAAAAAGCAUGUAUCUCCAGAGUACCAAGGAGACGUGAGGCCAUUCCCCAGGUAAUUUGGAUUCUGAGGGGGAAAAAAAAUCCAGAAAAUUUGGGCUCAAAGAAAAUGUUGGAGCUUGUUUUGUUGUUUACAUAACCUGCCUUUCCUAGAGGCCCUUUGCCUGAGCUCUGGCUCG
rnacentral:lncRNA from 1 species